ensembl:misc_RNA Y_RNA Y RNA
GGCUAGUCUGAAGGGAGUGAGUUAUCUCAACUGAUUGUUCACAGUCAGUUACAGAUUAAACUCCUUGUUUUACUCUUUCCCACUUCUCACUACUGCACUUGACUAGUCUUAA